CGGGCUGUAGCACAGCUUGGUAGUGCGCUUGCAUGGGGUGCAAGAGGUCGUGAGUUCGAAUCUCGCCAGCCCGACCA
rnacentral:tRNA from 1 species